AGUGGUCACCAAACUACGGCCCGCGGGCCGGAUACGGCCCGUCAGCACAUUUGAACCCGGCCCUCUGAACAAUACCAGAGACGCUAUCGAAUUUUUUUCCUAUUUGGCCUCCAGAAAAAAAAUCCUAGGCCCGGCCCUGUCAAAGAGAGAACGGAAUAAUGGCGAAAAGGUUAGGUAAGAGAAAAAUUGAUUCAGAAUGCAGGGUAUUUAACCUGCAGUGGACAAACGAUUAUUUUUUUUGUUCAAUGCAAAGAAAAGGCUGUUUGUCUCAUCUGUCAAGAGACGGUGGCGGUAUUCAAAGAAUACAAUCUUCGCCGACACUAUGAAUCCCGUCACAAAGACAAGUACGAUAGCUUGCAAGGCCAAAUACGAGCAGACAAACUCUCAAAGCUAAAAAGUGGACUACUAUCUCAGCAGAAUACAUUUGUACGCCAAGCUCAGCUGAACCAGGCAUCCGUUCGGGACAGCUUUCGGGUUGCUAAACUGAUAGCAAGAAGCGGUAAGCCUUUCACUGACGGAGAGUUUGUUAAGAAAUGUAUGGAUGCUGUCGCGGAGGAGGUGUGUCCCGAGAAGAAAGAUGCGAGCUGCUACCCGAAAUUAACGCAUUUCUUCAUUUAAAAGACAAAACGGUCCCAGAGCUGAUCGACCCAGAAUGGAAAUGGCACCUCGCAUUUUUAACAGACGUGACAGAAAUACUUAACAGCCUUAACUUGCAGCUACAAGGCGAGGGGAAACUCAUUUGCGACAUGUAUUCACACAUAAAAGCAUUUGAGGUGAAAUUAGCGCUGCUUUUGGAACAAGUGAAAAAGCGCAACUUCGUCCAUCUUCCUGCUACCCAAAACCUGUCGAGAGAGAACCCAGCGGUCCCGUUCCCAGCUGAAAAGUGCGUGGAAGCACUGGAAAUGCUGAAGGCGCAGUUCGGUGUGCGAUUCAGUGAACUACAUGUUCAUGCAAAAGAAAUCCGUCUUUUUCAGAACCCCUUUGUUGCCGACAUUGAUGAAGCCCAGCCUUCAUAUCAGUUUGAGUUGGCUGAGUUACAGAACUGUGAUGUUCUGAAAGACGCAUUCAAGCCCAACAGUCUCAUUGACUUCUAUGCCGCCCUCCCAAACGACACAUAUCCAAACAUCAAAAAACACGCAAUGAAAAUGUCCACAGUUUUUGGCAGCACGUAUAUCUGCGAGAAAACAUUUUCUCGCAUGAAACUGCUGAAAACCCCGAUGAGAUCAAGAUUGACAGAUGAACAUUUGCAUCAGUGCUUGAGACUGGCUGUAACUAGAAUGGAACCUGAUAUUCAACUUCUCACCAGCCAGAUGCAGGCCCACAGUUCACACUGAUGAACAUACAUAGGGAAGUUGAUGAGAGAGAGCUGCAAACAGCGGUGUCUACAAGCCUACUGGAACCUACAAAAGGAUUAUAAGGAAGGAACACAAGAACUUUAAGAGACUGCUCAUAUGUGUCAGAGAGAUUCUGCUCUGACAACUGAGCUGAACUUUUAUCUGUUAAGAUUGUGCAUGGCACGACAGAAAGUUAAUGUUCCAUGGCUUUUUUUUCUAUGAAGAACCCAGAGAGGGUUAUUUAGUUAUUAUUUAUUUCAUUAAUAGUGUUAUUAUUUGUUUCCUGACUUUUUUUUCUGUAAAGAACCUGGAAAGGGUUAUUUGGUUAUGUGUGGCUUUCUGGAAAACAAUACAUUUUUUAAGCUCCCCUA